rnacentral:rRNA from 1 species
GGUGAGUAAUGCGCAGACAACUUGCGCCCCGGACUGGGAUAGCCCCUCGAAAGAGGGAUUAAUACCGGAUAUGGUCGUCCCGCAAAAGCGGGAUUAUCCAAAGGUGCCUUCUUCGGAAGGUGCCACCAGGGGAUGGGUUUGCGUUCUAUCAGCUUGUUGGUGGGGUAACGGCUCACCAAGGCAAUGACGGAUAGCUGGUCUGAGAGGAUGGUCAGCCACACUGGGACUGAGACACUGCCCAGACUCCUACGGGAGGCUGCAGUCGAGAAUCAUUCGCAAUGCGCGCAAGCGUGACGAUGCGACGCCGCGUGGAGGAUGACGGCCUUCGGGUUGUAAACUCCUGUCAUGAGGGAACAAAGCUUGCGGGUUAAUACCCCGGGAGUGUGAUGGUACCUCAAGAGGAAGUCACGGCUAACUCUGUGCCAGCAGCCGCGGUAAUACAGAGGUGGCAAGCGUUGUCCGGAUUUACUGGGCGUAAAGGGUGCGUAGGCGGUACGGUAUGUCGGAUGUGAAAUCUCGCAGCUCAACUGUGAAACGUCAUUCGAAACUGCCGAACUAGAGUACUGGAGAGGAGAGCGGAAUUCUUGGAGUAGCGGUGAAAUGCGUAGAUAUCAAGAAGAACACCGGUGGCGAAGGCGGCUCUCUGGACAGUUACUGACGCUGAGGUACGAAAGCCAGGGGAGCGAAGAGGAUUAGAUACCCUCGUAGUCCUGGCAGUAAACGAUGUGCACUUGGUGUGGGGAGGAGUUAUCCCCUUUCCGUACCGGAGUUAACGCGUUAAGUGCACCGCCUGGGGAGUACGGCCGCAAGGCUAAAACUCAAAGGAAUUGACGGGGGCCCGCACAAGCGGUGGAGCAUGUGGCUUAAUUCGAUGCAACGCGAAGAACCUUACCUGGGUUUGACAUGCCCGUCGUAUUCUCCUGAAAGGGAGAAGCCAGUUCGGCUGGACGGUGCACAGGUGCUGCAUGGCUGUCGUCAGCUCGUGCCGUGAGGUGUUGGGUUAAGUCCCGCAACGAGCGCAACCCUUGUGUUUAGUUGCCACUCCCGAUUCUGUCGGGAAGCACUCUAGACAGACUGCCCGUGACAAGCGGGAGGAACGAGGGGAUGACGUCAAGUCAGUAUGGUCCUUAUACCCAGGGCUGCACACGUGCUACAAUGGCCGGUACAGAGGGCGGCGACGCCGCGAGGCGAAGCAAAUCCCCAAA